UGGGGAAUAUUGCACAAUGGGCGAAGGCCUGAUGCAGCAACGCCGCGUGAGUGAUGAAGGCCUUCGGGUUGUAAAGCUCUGUCUUCUGGGACGAUAAUGACGGUACCAGAGGAGGAAGCCACGGCUAACUACGUGCCAGCAGCCGCGGUAAUACGUAGGUGGCAAGCGUUGUCCGGAUUUACUGGGCGUAAAGGAUGCGUAGGCGGAUACUUAAGUCAGAUGUGAAAAUCCCGGGCUUAACUUGGGAACUGCAUUUGAAACUGGGUAUCUAGAGUGCGGGAGAGGAAAGUGGAAUUCCUAGUGUAGCGGUGAAAUGCGUAGAGAUUAGGAAGAACACCAGUGGCGAAGGCGACUUUCUGGACCGUAACUGACGCUGAGGCAUGAAAGCGUGGGGAGCAAACA
rnacentral:rRNA from 1 species